rnacentral:rRNA from 1 species
GCCAGACUCCUACGGGAGGCAGCAGUGGGGAAUAUUGGACAAUGGGGGGAACCCUGAUCCAGCGACGCCGCGUGAGUGAAGAAGUAUUUCGGUAUGUAAAGCUCUAUCAGCAGGGAAGAAAGAAAUGACGGUACCUGACUAAGAAGCCCCGGCUAACUACGUGCCAGCAGCCGCGGUAAAACGUAGGGGGCGAGCGUUGUCCGGAAUGACUGGGCGUAAAGGGUGCGUAGGCGGCAUAAUAAGUUAGAAGUGAAAUACCCAGAGCUUAACUCGGGUGCUGCUUCUAAGACUGUUGAGCUUGAGUGCGGGAGAGGUUAAUGGAAUUCCUAGUGUAGCGGUGGAAUGCGUAGAUAUUAGGAGGAACACCAGAGGCGAAGGCGAUUAACUGGACCGUAACUGACGCUGAGGCACGAAAGUGUGGGUAGCAAACAGGAUUAGAUACCCGCGUA